UAUAACUACUAGGGGAGCCUAAAUAGGCUGAGAGGAAAGCAAAGAAGCAUUCCGACUCUUAAGAACCUGAUCUGGUUAAGACCAGCGGAGGGAAGUAGUCUACUAUUUUU
rnacentral:ncRNA from 2 species